rnacentral:rRNA from 1 species
ACUCGAGUGGCGAACGGGUGAGUAACACGUGGGUGAUCUGCCCUGCACUUCGGGAUAAGCCUGGGAAACUGGGUCUAAUACCGGAUAGGAGCCAUUUUUAGUGUGAUGGUUGGAAAGUUUUUCGGUGUAGGAUGAGCUCGCGGCCUAUCAGCUUGUUGGUGGGGUAAUGGCCUACCAAGGCGGCGACGGGUAGCCGGCCUGAGGGGGUGGACGGCCACAUUGGGACUGAGAUACGGCCCAG